CACUCAUCACCCGCUACACCUGGGUCUUGCCACGCGAGAUUAUUAUCUCGAAACUCCAAGGCGCAUUCAUUCAUUUUCCAAACCCUAUCGUGACCACAUUCUUGCUGCCUCUGGAGAAAUCUCCUCCUUCAAGCUCUAAAGUCGACGUCAUAAGCUCCAAAUCAUCUUUUCUCUCUAGUCCUUCAUAGAUCCAAAAGCCUUGCACAAACUCCUCCGUCAGGUUUACGCUAAAUCCACUGAUUGUUUUCUCCAUUUUCGCCCUAUCCUUCCUUUUCACCGAUUAAAUCCAAGAUCCCCUCCAUUCCACCGAUUCAAUCGGUGAAAUCUCUCUUUUCACCGUUUAAAACCUCUCAAACCCCCAACCCUAACACCUACACCGAACAAUCCUUCAAACCCUAGGAUUAGCCUUUGUAUUAUGUCUUUCGCUGCUUCCUAGUC
rnacentral:lncRNA from 1 species